rnacentral:rRNA from 1 species
CCUACGGGAGACUGCAGUGAGGAAUAUUGGUCAAUGGACGAGAGUCUGAACCAGCCAAGCAGCGUGAAGGAUGACUGCCCUAUGGGUUGUAAAUUUCUUUUAUAUGGGAAUAAAACGUUCCACGUGUGGGAUUUUGUAUGUACCAUAUGAAUAAGGAUCGGCUAACUCCGUGCCAGCAGCCGCGGUAAUACGGAGGAUCCGAGCGUUAUCCGGAUUGAUUGGGUUUAACGGGAGCGUAGGUGGAUUGUUAAGUCAGUUGUGAAAGUUUGGGGCUCAACCGUAGAAUUGCAGUUGAAACUGGCAGUCUUGAGUACAGUAGAGGUGGGCGGAAUUCGUGGUGUAGCGGUGAAAUGCGUAGAUAUCACGAAGAACUCCGAUGGCGAAGGCAGUUCACUGGACUGCAACUGACACUGAGGCUCGAAAGUGUGGGUAGCAAACAGGAUUAGAUACCCUGGUAGUC